rnacentral:miRNA from 1 species
UCUCCCCCCAACCCCAGGGCUCCUGGGUAGGAUCUGAGGAGUGGAAUCUCAUUCCCCAGCUCCUGAGCAGGAUAAAUAUGUCAUUGGCAAUGGCCUA